rnacentral:lncRNA from 1 species
UUCCCUUGUUCACAGGGACGGUAUGAGGAAAGAUACAUGGGAGGUGCUGAGAUAUGAGUGAAAUGGAGGCUCUGUACGGACACUGGGAUAGAUUGUGAAAUGGCGAGUGGAGCAGGAUGCUGCUCUGCAUCCUAUGAUGAGGGCAAAAUAUGACCUGUGGAGCAGAAGAAGAUGGUUGACUGUGGGGAGGAUCUGAUCUCCAACCUGUGGACUCAUUAUGCAGAGGCUGCAACUCCAAUUGCUUUGAUGUACUUCAGCAGCUCUGAAGGAGUCAUUCCAGCCUACCAAAACAAUGAUUUAAGAAGAAAUCUUACCACAAUAAGCAGGAGUGCAGUACUAGCAUCUCCGUUUUAUUACAGCUGGAGUUCAGUCACUGAAAAAAGGUAAACAGAAACACUAUUGAAUUACCUGACCUGAAACUUGUCAGCUCAUACAUGAAAUUCAGCACCUACUUCUUAAGUCUAUCCUGGGGAUCACAGAUCCAUAAUCUUAGUGGUGCCAGCCAGGUGGUCCUCUCACGCACUGUAUUACAGUGCUAAAGCAGCUCCUGCCCACGUGCAUGAACAGCUUGUCGAGAAUAUGCUUCAUCCAGCUGUUGUGCACUAGAAAUGUACCCAGCAGGUGGAAAGGUGACAGAUGAACCAAUUAGCUAAAGAAUAUUGAUGGCAAGAACAGGGCAAGGUUGACAGCAGAAGGCAGGUAGCA